AUUUAUGUUAGGACACCAUAAUCAAACGUCCAAUGCUACUCCAAGGUAAUUUCAUAGGACAUUCUAAUUGAACGUUUCCAAUGCCAGUCCAAUGGAUUAUCAUUGGACAUUCGAUUGUGAUAUGUCUAACAGUAGUUUAAUGUUUAAUCCUACGAUUUAUGUUAGGACACCAUAAUCAAACGUCCAAUGCUACUCCAAGGUAAUUUCAUAGGACAUUCUAAUUGAACGUUUCCAAUGCCAGUCCAAUGGAUUAUCAUUGGACAUUCGAUUGUGAUAUGUCUAACAGUAGUUUAAUGUUUAAUCCUACGAUGUAUGUUAGGACACCAUAAUCAAACGUCCAAUGCUACUCCAAGGUAAUUUCAUAGGACAUUCUAAUUGGACGUAUCUAAUGCCAGUCCAAUAGAUUACCAUUGGACAUUCGAUUGAGAUAUAUUCAACCAUAGUCUAAUGUUUAAUCCUACAGUUUACCUCAGGACACUUUAAUCAGACAUCCAAUGCUAGUCGAAGGAAAAUUUAUAGGACAUUCUAAUUGGACAUAUCCAAUGCCAGUCCAUUGGUUUAUUAUUGGACAUUUGUUUGAGAUAUGUCCAACGAUGGUCGAACGUUUAAUCUUACGAUUUAUCUUAGCACAUCUAAUUCAAACGUCCUAUGCUAGUCCAAAGGAAUUUCAGAGGAAAGUUUACGUUAGACGUAUCCAAUGCCAGUCCAUUAGUUCAUCAUUGAACAUUCGAUUGGGAUAUAUCCCACGAUUGUAUAAUAUCUUGUACUACGAUAUCUCUUAAGACGUCUAAUUCAGACGUCCAAAGCUAAUCCAAAGGAAUAUCAUAGGACGUUAAAAUUUCAUAUAUCUAAUGCCAGUCCAACUAUUUUCAUUGGACUUUCGACAUAUGCUUCCAUCGAUAUGUCUUACGUUUGUUCAAAUGUCUUUGUUCUGUGAAGAGUGCGUGUGUAGCAGCGUUGGAAAAUGGAAAAAUGGGAAAAAUAUCCGGAAAAAUAGCAAAGUAAGUACAUUAUACACUAAUUAGGAUAUAGUUAAACGAUGUGUAUAAGAAAUUAAGUUGCAAUUUAUAUAAUUGUACGCGAAAAUAGAAAUUUUCUUUUUUACAGGUUACGUGUUUCGACAAGUCCAGGUGAGAGAUUUUUUUCGAAUAAAAGCAGGUAAAAAGAGAAGUAUUUUAAUUAAAGAGCGCUCUUCUGUAAAUAGUAGUAGUAGUAGUAGUAAUAGCAGUAGUAGUAGCAGUAGUAUGUAGUAGAAGUAGUCGGGGUAGUAGUAGUAAAUAUUAUGUAUGUAAUAUUUGACAAAUUUUUCUAUUAUUCCAUUAUUAUUCAUUGAUUUGUCUUUUCAUGCUACAUGUUCCCGGACAACUUCUAUUCUCCGGACUCUCCCAGGCUCCCCAAAAAGAGUGUCCAUGGACAACCCAAUGGAUUGUCAAUGGAUUCGUCCCAUGUGUCCCAUGGACUUUUCUUGUUUUUUUCUUAUAUUCUGUAAUAUUCUUACAGCUACAUGUUCCCGGCGUUCCCGGACAACUAUCUUACGGAUACUCCCACGUUACAAAAGCUCGCCAAAGAGAACUAUCAGCAUUUAUGACGAAGGGAAUGGAGAAAAGAAAAGACCGUGCCUUGGAAAACAGAAGUAGGAGAGCAUCCCGUGUCUUGGAAAACAGAAAUUGCAGAGCAUCCCGUGUCUUGGAAUACAGGAGUUGCAGAACAUCUCAAAGACCCAGGACGUCAGAGUUCAACCGCCGAAGGACAAAGUAUCAUACAUGUAAGAUUUAUAUAUAUAAUUUUUAAAUAAAAAAAUAAAAAAUUAA